rnacentral:rRNA from 1 species
AUUGAACGCUGGCGGCAGGCCUAACACAUGCAAGUCGAGCGGAUGAAGGGAGCUUGCUCCUGGAUUCAGCGGCGGACGGGUGAGUAAUGCCUAGGAAACUGCCUGGUAGUGGGGGAUAACGUCCGGAAACGGGCGCUAAUACCGCAUACGUCCUGAGGGAGAAAGUGGGGGAUCUUCGGACCUCACGCUAUCAGAUGAGCCUAGGUCGGAUUAGCUAGUUGGUGGGGUAAAGGCCUACCAAGGCGACGAUCCGUGACUGGUCUGAGAGGAUGAUCAGUCACACUGGAACUGAGACACGGUCCAGACUCCUACGGGAGGCAGCAGUGGGGAAUAUUGGACAAUGGGCGAAAGCCUGAUCCAGCCAUGCCGCGUGUGUGAAGAAGGUCUUCGGAUUGUAAAGCACUUUAAGUUGGGAGGAAGGGCAGUGAGUUAAUACCUUGCUGUUUUGACGUUACCAACAGAAUAAGCACCGGCUAACUUCGUG